rnacentral:rRNA from 1 species
AAGGAUCAUUACCUAGAGUUGCGGGCUUUGCCUGCCAUCUCUUACCCAUGUCUUUUGAGUACCUUACGUUUCCUCGGCGGGUCCGCCCGCCGACUGGACAAUUUAAACCACUUGCAGUUGCAAUCAGCGUCUGAAAAAACUUAAUAGUUACAACUUUCAACAACGGAUCUCUUGGUUCUGGCAUCGAUGAAGAACGCAGCGAAAUGCGAUAAGUAGUGUGAAUUGCAGAAUUCAGUGAAUCAUCGAAUCUUUGAACGCACAUUGCGCCCCUUGGUAUUCCAUGGGGCAUGCCUGUUCGAGCGUCAUUUGUACCUUCAAGCCUUGCUUGGUGUUGGGUGUUUGUCUCGCCUCUGCGCGUAGACUCGCCUCAAAACAAUUGGCAGCCGGCGUAUUGAUUUCGGAGCGCAGUACAUCUCGCGCUUUGCACUCAGAACGACGACGUCCAAAAGUACAUUUUUACACUCUUGACCUCGGAUCAGGUAGGGAUACCCGCUGAACUUAA